GCUGGUAUAACUCAGUGGUAGAGUACUACAUUGGUAAUGUAGAAGUCAUGGGUUCAAAUCCCAUUAUCAGCU
rnacentral:tRNA from 2 species